rnacentral:lncRNA from 1 species
GUUCCACCUUCUUCUGAAUGGACUCAAUGUGCUACACAGAGUUGUGUCGGGGUAGAAGUUGCAAUCAGGGGCUGGAGAGAUGACUCAGUGGUUUGAAGCACUUGGUGCUCUUGUAAAGGACCUGGGCUUGAUUCCCAGUGUUCACAUGGUUCACAAUCACCCAUAACUCCAGUUCCAAGUACUCUCUUCUGACCUCCACAGGGACCAAGAACAUACAUGGCACCAACAUCCAUGCAGGCAGAAUAUUCACACACAUAAAAUAAAAUGUCUCUUGAAGUAACAUGUCAUCCAGAGUCCACUCCCCAUUGGAUGAGUCAUUCACUGGUCUUCCAACAAAACAGAUGGUGAGCAGUGGAGAAGUCAGGGAAAGUGAAGAAAAUGAAAGAGGGAGAAAAAUGGUGUUUCUCACCAAACCCAUGAUAGACCCAGAAGUCAUCCAGCGUCUAAAAUCUUGGAAUAACUCCAUGGAUCAUGAAACCAAGGAAGACUGUGGGAGAAAGAGCAUAUGUCAAUGUAGAAUUUGGCCUCACAAGCUAGAAGACAAAGUGCUGGUCAGGACAUAGAGACUGAUAAUAAAAAUUCCUACUUUUAAUUUUUUAAAGCAGAUUAUGCGUUAUGUUUUCUGAAAUGACUUGCCAGAUAAUGUUUCAGGAGGAAGUUUGAAUAAAAUAUUCCAG